rnacentral:rRNA from 1 species
CCUCCUUGUGUCCGCCGUUCUUACUAUUGUUCCCUGGGCGGCCGCCUGAACCAGCCAAGUAGCGUGCAGGAUGACGGCCCUACGGGUUGUAAACUGCUUUUAUACGGGAAUAACGCGCCUUACGUGUAGGGCUUUGCAUGUACCGUAUGAAUAAGGACCGGCUAAUUCCGUGCCAGCAGCCGCGGUAAUACGGAAGGUCCGGGCGUUAUCCGGAUUUAUUGGGGUUAAAGGGAGCGUAGGCCGCAUGUCAAGCGUGCUGUGAAAUGUCCGGGCUCAACCCGGGCCUUGCAGCGCGAACUGGCGUGCUUGAGUCCGCGGAAAGCAGGCGGAAUUCGUCGUGUAGCGGUGAAAUGCUUAGAUAUGACGAAGAACCCCGAUUGCGAAGGCAGCUUGCUGCAGCGGAACUGACGCUGAUGCUCGAAAGCGCGGGUAUCGAACAGGAUUAGAUACCCCAGUAGUC